rnacentral:lncRNA from 1 species
AUGUGUUUUGCAGUGGCACCGAAUACUCCACAGGACUACACAGUUGUGAUCGCUGUGAUAGUGUCGGUGUGUACGAUCAUUCUGCUGGCAGUGCUUAUCCUGGUCUUGUACUAUAGAAAAAAAGUGACAAAAUCGAGCUCUGAAAAUAAAGUCAGCACCUCUUUGUGGUCUGUCAAUUUAAGCAGUAGGAGGAUGUCUGUUGCUGAUGAAACCAGAGGAAAAGUUAACCUAGGAUACCACGCUGAAGACGUAACAAGUUCAGGGCACCAUGAGCUCAGGAACAGAGCAGACAGCACGAUAAACAUCAUCAGCCCUCCGCGGGUUCCUGAUAUCAUCAUUUUCCGCUCUCAAAAUCAGAAAGAGGAAGAUUUUUCUAACUUGUACUACAAGGGAGGAAAGACAGUCCGUCGGGUCACCACUGUUUGACCUCAGGGUCAACCCCACAUCAACCACCCACUGUAAGAAAGAGCCAGCUUUCUGUUCAGAGAGACGCCACAAAUUCAGUCUGACCUUAUUGUUACUCCAAAGAGGUCUUAUAUGCUGAAGAUGAAGAUGCGGUGGCUUGCAUGUCAAGAGUAUUGAGACAUAAUCAUAAUCACAUGAGUCCUGCAGUCAACUGCAUGCAAUCAUUCAUGGUAAUGGCUGCUGAUAAAUCAGCCACAUCAACACUGCAUAUGCUCUUUUUUAGAAAUAAUUCAAUUGGAUGUGAUUAUUUUGUACCUUAUUCAAAUGAAAAUAUUUUUUGUUGAUUGAUACUUUACACAAUUUUGUACAUCAGUAUAUGCAUCUUCAUCAGUAUAGAGGGCUGCAGUGAUGAUGUAUUUUUGUGGGCCAAACCGGAAGUUGGCAUUACCCUGGUUCCAUCGACAAAAAUCCAACUGUAUUUUUCCAAUGGCUUUUGGAAUAUUGCAGAAAAUAAGCUCUGAGACCAUCAAAAGUUUAUAAUUUCACGUUUUUCUCAUCAUGAUAAUUUUUUCAAAUCUUCCCAACUUAAGCCUAAAUACAAUUAGCAGAAGUAAAAUGAUAAAUAUAGGCUAUAAAUAAAUUAUUUCAAUCCUUAUUUAAUAAAUACCUUAAAAGUUUGAGUUAGAAUAGUUUGCAAGAGAAUGAUUAUAAACACAAUGUGCUGUGAACUAGUAAGUAGUAGCUUACCCUUUUCAGUGCAACAUUUAAGCUUUUACUUUCUUGUAAAAGGCGGCUGCUAACAAGUUGCUAAAUAGAACUACAGAGGAUGUUGGGGACAUUAAAGGGAUAGUUCACCCAAAAAUGAAAAUUCUGUCAUUGAGUAUAAAAAAAAAAAUAAAAUAAUAAAAAAAAA